ACGCUCGACACCUACGGGAGGCAGCAGUUGGGAAUAUUGGACAAUGGAGGAAACUCUGAUCCAGUGACGCCGCGUGAAGGAAGAAGGUCUUCGGAUCGUAAACUUAUUUUGUCAGGGAAGAAAAAUGACUGUACCUGAAGAAAAAGCACCGGCUAACUACGUACCAGCAGCCGCGGUAAUCUGAGCGGGCUGGCAAGGC
rnacentral:rRNA from 1 species